rnacentral:lncRNA from 1 species
GGAGCUCCUGUGGUGGUAGCAGCGGUAGCGGGAGACGGAGCGAGUCCAGCGGCCGCGGGCAGACCCGGAGGGAACGGAGGAAGCGGUCAUGUCUCGCUACACGAGGCCCCCCAACACCUCCCUGUUCAUCAGGAACGUCGCGGACGCCACCAGAUCUAAAGCAGUCCACAGUAGCUGGCAAGCACCCCCCAGUUUGAACCAACCUGUUAGCUAGAAUCCAAGCAUAAACCCAGCAGGCGAGACAAAAGGCACCUAAAGUUCAAGCAUCAAGGAGUAAAGAGGGAGGGUGGACACAGAUAUAAAGACCUGGAAGAGGGGAAGUCUUUAUCAAGCAAAAGACAAAGCCAACACCAGGUUGAGACUUCGGCUUUCCUACAUUUACUCAGAGUUCCAGAGUCAAAGCCAAGUCUGAUUUUGUUGGUUCUGCGUCUCUUAUAAAGUCCAUCUUGCAAGCCUUAAAGAGUAAAGGUCAAGGUUCAAGAUCAAGUGACAUUGAGUGUCCUUAACAGCUAGUCAUAUUUGAAGAUGUUCGAGAUGCUGAAGAUGCUCUUUAUAACCUCAAUAGAA